rnacentral:rRNA from 1 species
AUUGAACGCUGGCGGCAGGCCUAACACAUGCAAGUCGAACGGUAACAGGAAGAAGCUUGCUUCUUUGCUGACGAGUGGCGGACGGGUGAGUAAUGUCUGGGAAACUGCCUGAUGGAGGGGGAUAACUACUGGAAACGGUAGCUAAUACCGCAUAACGUCGCAAGACCAAAGAGGGGGACCUUCGGGCCUCUUGCCAUCGGACGUGCCCAGAUGGGAUUAGCUAGUAGGUGGGGUAACGGCUCACCUAGGCGACGAUCCCUAGCUGGUCUGAGAGGAUGACCAGCCACACUGGAACUGAGACACGGUCCAGACUCCUACGGGAGGCAGCAGUGGGGAAUAUUGCACAAUGGGCGCAAGCCUGAUGCAGCCAUGCCGCGUGUAUGAAGAAGGCCUUCGGGUUGUAAAGUACUUUCAGCGGGGAGGAAGGGAGUAAAGUUAAUACCUUUGCUCAUUGACGUUACCCGCAGAAGAAGCACCGGCUAACUCCGUG